rnacentral:rRNA from 1 species
GACGAACGCUGGCGGCGUGCUUAACACAUGCAAGUCGAACGGAAAGGCCCUGCUUUUGUGGGGUGCUCGAGUGGCGAACGGGUGAGUAACACGUGAGUAACCUGCCCUUGACUUUGGGAUAACUUCAGGAAACUGGGGCUAAUACCGGAUAGGAGCUCCUGCUGCAUGGUGGGGGUUGGAAAGUUUCGGCGGUUGGGGAUGGACUCGCGGCUUAUCAGCUUGUUGGUGGGGUAGUGGCUCACCAAGGCUUUGACGGGUAGCCGGCCUGAGAGGGUGGCCGGCCACAUUGGGACUGAGAUACGGCCCAGACUCCUACGGGAGGCAGCAGUGGGGAAUAUUGCACAAUGGGCGGAAGCCUGAUGCAGCAACGCCGCGUGCGGGAUGACGACCUUCGGGUUGUAAACCGCUUUCGCCUGUGACGAAGCGUGAGUGACGGUAAUGGGUAAAGAAGCACCGGCUAACUACGUG